rnacentral:lncRNA from 1 species
AGAGAGAGAGAGAGAGAGAGAGAGAGAGAGCAAUUAAAACAUGAAACAUAACCAUAUUUGUUUUCAUUUUCUGCAUCAUGAUUCUGAAGUUGUAGGUAAAACUACUGGAUUCAAAACAUACUACCCACCAUGUAGUCACAAUCAAGAACACAUGUUGUUCAAGCAAGAAGAACAUUUUUUUCUCUUGCACAUGAGAAUAAUUUGCUGCAUUUCAGUAGAACAGAAGCUUCCUACCACUGAAUUUGAUGUUGUGGACAAUUGAUCUGAACAAUGUGCUGAAGAUUUAGCCAGCUUCAACAGAAACAUGUCACUUGCUUCAAUUCCUUGUGGUCCAUGCAAAAGUCUUCAAGGGAAGCUUCUGAUCCAACAUGAAUACAUCACCACUCCCACUCUUCAAUUAUGGCAUUAGGUAACAAGUGGAUAGAAAUUGUUUGAUUUACAAAUUCUUAUUAAUCAGAUAUAGAAGAUUUCCAAAAUGCUAAGGUAAAGAGUCAUGGCCAUAUAAAAUUUGAUAUGCUUCAAUUUUUGAAAUGUAGAAAGUGGAAUUUAGCACCAUCAUGUUUGGACACUGAGAUUGCCUAAGAAUGAUGAUACAAAGCAUGAGUAAAAGCACUGUGAAAUCAACAGCAGUGGAUACUGUUGUUUCCUGUCAAAUGAGAUCUCAAGAACUUUGUCCUAAUCAUGCAAGAUGGAAGACAUGUCAUCUGUUACAAGUAUCAACCAAGAAAUGUAGAAAGUGGGGUUCAACACACCAUCUUUGAACACUGAGAGUGCCUAACAAUGAUGACACAAAGAAGUAUCAGCAAAAGCAAUGCAAAUCAGCAGCAAUGGAAACUGAUAUAUCCUGUCCAAUGAGAUCUCAGGAACUUGUUCUAGUCAUGUAAGAUGGAAGAAGUAUCAACCAAGAAAUGUAGGAAGUGGUACUCAGCACCAUUAUUUUUGAACACUCAGAUUGCAUAACCAUGAUGAUACAAACAAAGUAUGAGCAAAAUCAAUACAAAUCAGCACUGUAUCUUGUCAAAUGAGAUCUCAAGAACUUUCCUCAAUCAUGUAAGAUGGAAGGCCUGUGAUUUGUUACAAGUAUCAAACAAGAAAUGUAGAAAGUGUAAUUCAACACCAUUAAUUUUUAACACUGAGAUUGCCUGAGAACGAUAACACAAAGCAUGAGUGAAAAAAAGCAAUAGAGAAAUCAGCUAUGAUGCUGCUGUAUCCUGUCAAAAUGAGAUCUCAAGAAUUUGUCCUAAUCAUGUAAGAUGGAAGAAGAAGAAUCAACCAAAAAAUGUAGAAAGUGGAAUUCAACACCAUCUGUUUUGAACAACACUGAGAUUGCCUAAGCAUGAUCAUACAUGGUAUGAGCAAAAGAAAGCAAUAGAAAUCAACAGGAACGGAGACUGCUGUAUUCUAUCAAAGAAGAUCUCAACAACUUGUUCUAAUCAUGUAGAACAACACCACAAUUCUUCAUCCCAGGACAAGAUCCAUGUUCCGCAUCAUCCCUGUGGUUGAGACCCUGUGUCAGGGGAGCAAGAGGCAGCAAAGAGAGAAGCAGAGUCACCAAAGGCUUUCUCCUCAAGCUAUCUGAAACUCCCGGAGCUGUGUUCUUGCCUCAGAUCUUCUCGUCCCAGGCGGAGCUCGGCAUCGGUCGGCGACGCCGCCGGCGCUCCAUGGGCUUGAUAUGGGGCCUUGGUGCUGAUCCUGUAAGCAUUUCGACCGAGAGACGCUUAGAUGCAGCUCGUAAAACACAAGAUUGAUGC